rnacentral:rRNA from 1 species
UACGAAGGGUGCAAACGUUGCUCGGAAUUAUUGGGCGUAAAGGGCUCGUAGGCGGCCAACUAAGUCAGACGUGAAAUCCCCAGGCUCAACCUGGGAACUGCGUCUGAUACUGGAUGGCUUGAAUCCGGGAGAGGGAUGCAGAAUUCCAGGUGUAGCGGUGAAAUGCGUAGAUAUCUGGAGGAAUACCGGUGGCGAAGGCGGCAUCCUGGACCGGCAUUGACGCUGAGGUGCGAAAGCGUGGGGAGCAAACAGG